rnacentral:misc_RNA from 1 species
GAUGAAGAACGUAGUGAAAUGCGAUAAGUAAUGUGAAUUGCAGAAUUCAGUGAAUCAUCGAAUCUUUGAACGCACAUUGCGCCCGCCAGUAUUCUGGCGGGCAUGCCUGUUCGAGCGUCAUUACAACCCUCAGGCCCCCGGGCCUGGCGUUGGGGAUCGGCGGAAGCCCCCUGCGGGCACAACGCCGUCCCCCAAAUACACUGGCGGUCCCGCCGCAGCUUCCAUUGCGUAGUAGCUAACACCUCGCAACUGGAGAGCGGCGCGGCCACGCCGUAAAACACCCAACUUCUGAAUGUUGACCUCGAAUCAGGUAGGAAUACCCGCUGAACUUAAGCAUAUCAAUAAGCGGAGGA